GUCAAGCAUGAUGGUCUGUUCCUGUAAACCCAGCUACUCGGGAGGCUGAGGCAGGAGGAUCACUUGAGUCCAGCAGUUCUGGGCAAUAGUGCUCUAUGCUGAUUGGGUCUCCAUGUUAAAUUCUGAAUUAAUAUGAUGACCUCCCACCUUCCAGGAGUAGGGGACCACAGGUUGCCUAAAAAGGGUGAACUGGCCCAAGUCAGAAAUGGAGCAGGUCAAAACUGUGUCUGUGAGUAGCCACUGCACUCCAUCCUAGGCAACAUAGUGAGACCCCAUCUCUA
ensembl:misc_RNA Metazoa_SRP Metazoan signal recognition particle RNA